CUAAAACCACAGAAGAAGAAUUUUACAACGGAGAUGGUGGUCCAGACGUGAUUCUCUGGUUACCUUGACAACGUCCCACAUGUCGGAUGUCAAUCUUCAGCUGCUUGAGGCAGGAUGCCUCUCUCACGUGACACGGCGUUUCUGUGUCCUCAGAAUCUUCAUCGCACUCUGCACCAAACUUGCAGUUCCCACAUUUGGAUCCUUUUUUACCGCGUCCGGAACCUUCAUCAUCUACAGACACACAAGACGUCAUCGUCAACAUCCAACAAGUAUUGUAAGCUCACUUUUCUGGAUCUGACUUUUCUGACACAGCUCAACAUGUCAGCACAACCCCAUAGGGGGCGCUACAAAUGUCAUUUGGGACAUUUAGGACAUUUAGGAUCUAUUAGGAUCUACA